CACUAGGAAGCUAAAGUGGACUAUAGCAUCAGCCUUUUAAGCUGAAAAUUGGUGAUUUCCAACCACCCCUAAUGA
rnacentral:tRNA from 1 species